AUUGAACGCUGGCGGCAUGCUUUACACAUGCAAGUCGAACGAGUGGCGAACGGGUGAGUAAUAUAUAGGAACGUACCGAGUAAUGGGGGAUAACAAAUCGAAAGAUUGGCUAAUACCGCAUAUUAUUCCAGCGGCCGAUAACUGAUUAGCUAUUUGGUGGGGUAAAGGCCUACCACGGCGACGAUCAGUAUCGGGUGUGAGAGGACGAACCGCCACACUGGGACUGAGACACGGCCCAGACUCCUACGGGAGGCAGGAGUGGGGAAGUUUGGACAAUGGGGGCAACCCGGAUCCAGCCAUGCCGCGUGUAUGAAGAAGGCCUUCGGGGUGUAAAGUACUUUUGUUAGGGAAGCGGGAUCUAAAGAAUAAGCACCGGCUAACUACGUGCCAGCAGCCGCGGUAAUUC
rnacentral:rRNA from 1 species